rnacentral:rRNA from 1 species
AGUCGAGCGAGCGGAACCACAGAUUUACUUCGGUAAUGACGUUGGGAAAGCGAGCGGCGGAUGGGUGAGUAACACGUGGGGAACCUGCCCCUAAGUCUGGGAUACCAUUUGGAAACAGGUGCUAAUACCGGAUAAUAAAGCAGAUCGCAUGAUCAGCUUUUGAAAGGCGGCGUAAGCUGUCGCUAAGGGAUGGCCCCGCGGUGCAUUAGCUAGUUGGUAAGGUAACGGCUUACCAAGGCGACGAUGCAUAGCCGAGUUGAGAGACUGAUCGGCCACAUUGGGACUGAGACACGGCCCAAACUCCUACGGGAGGCAGCAGUAGGGAAUCUUCCACAAUGGACGCAAGUCUGAUGGAGCAACGCCGCGUGAGUGAAGAAGGUUUUCGGAUCGUAAAGCUCUGUUGUUGGUGAAGAAGGAUAGAGGUAGUAACUGGCCUUUAUUUGACGGUAAUCAACCAGAAAGUCACGGCUAACUACGUGCCAGCAGCCGCGGUAAUACGUAGGUGGCAAGCGUUGUCCGGAUUUAUUGGGCGUAAAGCGAGCGCAGGCGGUUUCUUAGGUCUGAUGUGAAAGCCUUCGGCUUAACCGGAGAAGUGCAUCGGAAACCAGGAGACUUGAGUGCAGAAGAGGACAGUGGAACUCCAUGUGUAGCGGUGAAAUGCGUAGAUAUAUGGAAGAACACCAGUGGCGAAGGCGGCUGUCUGGUCUGUAACUGACGCUGAGGCUCGAAAGCAUGGGUAGCGAACAGGAUUAGAUACCCUGGUAGUCCAUGCCGUAUACGAUGAGUGCUAAGUGUUGGAGGGUUUCCGCCCUUCAGUGCUG